UACGAAGGGGGCUAGCGUUUUUCGGAAUUACUGGGCGUAAAGCGCACGUAGGCGGAUUAGUAAGUCAGGGGUGAAAUCCCAGAGCUCAACUUCGGAACUGCCUUUGAUACUGCUGAUCUCGAGUCCGAAAGAGGUGAGUGGAAUUCCUAGUGUAGAGGUGAAAUUCGUAGAUAUUAGGAGGAACACCAGUGGCGAAGGCGGCUCACUGGUUCAGUGCUGACGCUGAGACGCGAAAGCGUGGGGAGCAAACAGG
rnacentral:rRNA from 1 species